GCCGAAGUGGCGCAACCGGUAGACGCGCGGAGCUUAAGCCUCCGAACACUUUGAGGGUUCGACUCCCUCCUUCGGCA
rnacentral:tRNA from 1 species